rnacentral:lncRNA from 1 species
CAGGAUAUAGACAGAGCCAUGCACUUUACAUUUUGUAUCAAUUAAAAAAUUAAAAUGAAUUUUAUGUUAAUUUUAUGGUUUUGUGAAAAAAAAUUGUAUUUCUGUUCCACAUUAUAGGAAAAAAUGUUUGCUUUCCUUCUCAUAAGAAAAAAAAUAUUUUGUCGGAGGAAGGUUCUGAAAAAAACAAUUAUGAACACAAUAAAAAUCCCAGCCCCCCCCCCCC